GAUGAAGAACGUAGCGAAAUGCGAUAAGUAAUGUGAAUUGCAGAAUUCAGUGAAUCAUCGAAUCUUUGAACGCACCUUGCGCCCUUUGGCCAUUCCGAAGGGCAUGCCUGUUUGAGUAUCAUGAACACCUCAACUCUUCAUGGUUUUCCAUGAUGAGCUUGGACUUUGGGGGUCUUGCUGGCCUGUGGGUCGGCUCCUCUCAAAUGAAUCAGCUUGCCGGUUUUUGGUGGGCAUCACAGGUGUGAUAACUAUCUACGCUUGUGGUUUUCCACUAGGGUAACCUUCAGCAGUGGAGGUUCACUGGAGCUUACAAAUGUCUCUCCUCUGUGAGGACAGCCCUUUGAAUGUUUGAUCUCAAAUCAGGUAGGACUACCCGCUGAACUUAAGCAUAUCAAUAAGCGGAGGA
rnacentral:misc_RNA from 1 species